ACGGAGGAUGCAAGCGUUAUCCGGAAUCAUUGGGCGUAAAGCGUCCGCAGGUGGUUUCCAAAGUCUGCUGUUAAAGACUGGAGCUCAACUCCGGAACGGCGGUGGAAACUUGGAAACUAGAGUUCGGUAGGGGUAGCAGGAAUUCCCAGUGUAGCGGUGAAAUGCGUAGAUAUUGGGAAGAACAUCGGUGGCGAAGGCGUGCUACUGGACCGCAACUGACACUCAGGGACGAAAGCUAGGGUAGCGAAAGGG
rnacentral:rRNA from 1 species